GACGAACGCUGGCGGCAUGCCUAAUACAUGCAAGUCGAGCGAACAGAUGAAGUGCUUGCACUUCUGACGUUAGCGGCGAACGGGUGAGUAACACGUAGGAAUCUACCUAUAAGCGGGGGAUAACAUUCGGAAACGGGUGCUAAUACCGCAUAAUAUCUUCUUCCGCAUGGAAGAAGACUGAAAGACGGCCCUGAUGUCAAUUAUAGAUGACCUUGCGGUGCAUUAGUUAUUUGGUGGGGUAACGGCCUACCAAGACGAUGAUGGAUAGUCGACCUGAGAAGGUGAUCGGCCGCAUUGGGACUGGGACACGGCCCAAACUCCUACGGGAGGCAGCAGUAGGGAAUCUUCCGCAAUGGGCGAAAGCCUGACGGAGCAAUGCCGCGUGAGUGAAGAAGGCCUUCGGGUCGUAAAACUCUGUUAUAAGAGAAGAACAAAUUGUAGAGUAACUGCUACAGUCUUGACGGUAUCUUAUCAGAAAGCCACGGCUAACUACGUGCCAGCAGCCGCCGUAA
rnacentral:rRNA from 1 species